AUCUCCUCUUUGGCUGUGCUGGCACACGAGGCAAUGACUCGGCGGAGCUAGGGCAUGGCGGGGAGAGGUUGAUUCGUGUCUUUUCCAGCCGAUCGAGCUUCUUUUGCUCUCCUCUUCGAUCUACUUGCUGGGGGUGAACUGGAUCAUCAUCAGUGGAAGUGGAUCGCACGACACCAGCUGUAGGGAUUGAUUGAGGAGGAUGCUUCGGAUAAACCUAGUGAUGGAUCUUCCUUGAGUAGAACUUCAUCUCCUUCAUUCUUGCGGCUGCUAGGGGCUUGGGGUGAAGAGGUGGAGAGCUAUGAAGCUUCUCAGCAGGGAGUUGUAGGGUUGCUGAGCUACUGGAGUUGCUGCCAUGGUUCAAGGACUUGGAUUCGGGACGAGCGUCUCAACGUGGGAUUUUCGGACACGAGCUACGUAUUAAGG